GACGAACGCUGGCGGCGUGCUUAACACAUGCAAGUCGAACGGAAAGGCCCUGCUUUUGUGGGGUGCUCGAGUGGCGAACGGGUGAGUAACACGUGAGUAACCUGCCCUUGACUUUGGGAUAACUUCAGGAAACUGGGGCUAAUACCGGAUAGGAGCUCCUGCUGCAUGGUGGGGGUUGGAAAGUUUCGGCGGUUGGGGAUGGACUCGCGGCUUAUCAGCUUGUUGGUGGGGUAGUGGCUUACCAAGGCUUUGACGGGUAGCCGGCCUGAGAGGGUGACCGGCCACCUUGGGACUGAGAUACGGCCCAGACUCCUACGUGAGGCAGCAGUGGGGAAUAUUGCACAAUGGGCGGACGCCUGAUGCAGCAACGCCGCGUGCGGGAUGACGGCCUUCGGGUUGUAAACCGCUUUCGCCUGUGACGAAGCGUGAGUGACGGUAAUGGGUAAAGAAGCACCGGCUAACUACGUG
rnacentral:rRNA from 1 species